UUUAAUUUAGUUCAGUGGAUCCAAUGCCUGCCUUAUAAGCACAAGGUCCUGGGUUCGAUCCCCAGAACAAAAG
rnacentral:tRNA from 1 species